rnacentral:rRNA from 1 species
AGGGAAUCUUCGGCAAUGGACGGAAGUCUGACCGAGCAACGCCGCGUGAGUGAAGAAGGUUUUCGGAUCGUAAAGCUCUGUUGUAAGAGAAGAACGAGUGUGAGAGUGGAAAGUUCACACUGUGACGGUAUCUUACCAGAAAGGGACGGCUAACUACGUGCCAGCAGCCGCGGUAAUACGUAGGUCCCGAGCGUUGUCCGGAUUUAUUGGGCGUAAAGCGAGCGCAGGCGGUUAGAUAAGUCUGAAGUUAAAGGCUGUGGCUUAACCAUAGUAGGCUUUGGAAACUGUUUAACUUGAGUGCAAGAGGGGAGAGUGGAAUUCCAUGUGUAGCGGUGAAAUGCGUAGAUAUAUGGAGGAACACCGGUGGCGUAAGCGGCUCUCUGGCUUGUAACUGACGCUGAGGCUCGAAAGCGUGGGGAGCAAACAGGAUUAGAUACCCUGGUAGUCCACGCCGUAAACGAUGAGUGCUAGGUGUUAGACCCUUUCCGGGGUUUAGUGCCGUAGCUAACGCAUUAAGCACUCCGCCUGGGGAGUACGACCGCAAGGUUG